AAUGAACGCUGGCGGCAUGCCUUACACAUGCAAGUCGAACGGCAGCAUGACCUAGCUUGCUAGGUUGAUGGCGAGUGGCGAACGGGUGAGUAAUGCAUCGGAACGUGCCUUUUAGUGGGGGAUAACGUAGCGAAAGUUACGCUAAUACCGCAUAUUCUCUGAGGAGGAAAGCAGGGGACCUUCGGGCCUUGCGCUAGAAGAGCGGCCGAUGUCGGAUUAGCUAGUUGGUGAGGUAAAGGCUCACCAAGGCAACGAUCCGUAGCGGGUCUGAGAGGAUGAUCCGCCACACUGGGACUGAGACACGGCCCAGACUCCUACGGGAGGCAGCAGUGGGUAAUUUUGGACAAUGGGCGCAAGCCUGAUCCAGCCAUGCCGCGUGAGUGAAGAAGGCCUUCGGGUUGUAAAGCUCUUUCGGCUGGGAAGAAAUCGCACCCUCUAAUACAGGGUGUGGAUGACGGUACCAGCAUAAGAAGCACCGGCUAACUACGUG
rnacentral:rRNA from 1 species